UCCUUACAUUUGGGAUAACAUCGGGAAACUGGUGCUAAUACCGAAUGGUCUUCAUUGCUUUGGGGCGAUGGAGUAAAGGUGGCCUCUUCAUGAAAGCUACCGUGUAGGGAUGAGCCUGCGUACCAUUAGCUAGUAGGUGGGGUAAUGGCCCACCUAGGCUACGAUGGUUAGCGGGUCUGAGAGGAUGAUCCGCCACACUGGAACUGAAACACGGACCAG
rnacentral:rRNA from 1 species